CAGCUAUCACUUUUUCUUCUUGAGUGCUUAUUUGUUCAGUUUUUAAAAAUAUUUUCAGCGAUGUAGAUAGACUAGCACUUCUUUCUCUUUUUUGGUGUUCAUUACAUUUUUGAUGUUUUUCUAUAUCAUUCUUGCCACCAUGAGAUAUGCUAAACUGUUUUUGGCACAAUGUGCAAAGUGCUCUUAACUUAUUAUUUGGAACGGAUUUGAUGAACGAGUAACUUUUCAUCCAAACAUCGAGAAAAUAACACAUUCUUUUUUGUUUCUUCUUUUUCGGAGUCGAAGUCGAAGCAUCGGUUUUUACCUCGGAUUCGGAAACAGUUUCCGGAUCACUCAUUUCAAAAGAAAUCUGAAAAUAAAAGAAAUCCAAUGGCAGCAACCAACACCACAUACGUGAAUAAAUACAUACAUACAAACAGAUAUACGCUGGAUUAUGUUAAUAAAUCAUGAAAUCAAUACAUAAAAUUUCGUUAAAAAACAUCAAAAGCAUUUAUUUACCUCUCCCGGCACUUUGCACAAACCCUCAUGUCAAAAAUUUUCUAUCAUAUUUAUCAUGAAACCAAUAAAAACCAACUGCCUAACAUAACCUAAAAUUCGCCAACACGAAUUAGAAUCUUAGAAAGAACUAAAUAUGAGAAAAUUGUUAAAAGUAUUUGCGUAAACAUUUAAAUAAUGUUUAAUUAAACAAUUUGAAUGCUUACCUGCAAAGAAUCUCCUAAAUGUGCUGAUAAAAUUGCAAAACACAUACGAACGAACGAAGACCGAUUGAUUGAGUGAAGCCAAAGUGAAGUAUGUACCUACCUCCUACACAUUGUGAAGCGGUAUUUUACUUUGUGGUAGCGUCUCUGAGCAAGAGAGAAAACAAAACUAAGCUAUACUUAUAGCGUUAGUAAUGACUAAUGGGAUGCGUGCUAUUUUAAACGCAUUGUCGCACUCGAUAUAGUGAUGUGAUGCGUAAUUUUCAUUAUUCUAGUAAUAACGGGUUUUUAAUAAAUUAAUAAUUUAGCGUCCCGAUCAGGUGCAAAUCGGGACGCGUCCUCAGACCCUGAAAAUCGGGACGUCCCGCGCAAAUCGGGACACCUGGCAAUUCUAGUUAGACCACUCAAUUCUCAAUUUUCGGAGUGUAAUGUGGUUUCAACGUUUAUUUCGUAACGCGACUAUCAAAAUUCUGAUAAAUGUUUUGCUUUUCUGAACAGUGUGAAGAAAAGUAAUGAAACCUGUGAACGAAUGAUGGAUUUAUAUCUAUUGUAUUUACAUUACUACAUAUAAGUAUGUUCAUGAAGAACAAUACGAGUUGAAUUAACUUUGCCUAUACACUCCAGGCCGUUAUUUUUGUUUUAAUAAAUUUUUGAUGGGAAGGACUUUGUUUCAUUUUGUUAAGUGAUGUUAAAUGUUUUUGUGCUAUUGCAACUGUUGCAGAUAUUUUUUUAUUAAAAUGUCUCGUAACAGUGCAUAGAUACAAAAACAUUUAACAUUAAUAAUCUCUUAAAAUAAUAUGGAAAAUAAAUACAAUGUCAUGUUUGAAAUUCCCGCUAUUGUCGAGUUAGUUCGUUUGCUACUCGCUAGAUAACGCUUUCGGUAAAAACGAGGGGUAGACAGAGAGAUUCGCUUCUCCCUCUCUCUUAUUCUAUGGUCAAUAAGCUGUCAAUUGGCUGUCAACAGUGUCAGCACACUACCAAAAUGUUGUCAUGGAACUUGUUUGUUUUUGUCGUUUUUAACGUGUUAACCGUCCAUAAAACAAGUCUACUUAAUUUUAAUUGAAAUAACUUCUAAAUGGUAAUGAGUUUUAUUGAAAACAACGAAAGAAGACAGCGAUGAAGACAGAAAGAAGAGUUUUUAGGGCGACGGAGGAGGAAUCAACUACUAGAUUGAUGAGCAAUGCGGAUGGCCAUUUCCUCAUUCAGAUCAUCAACCUGCUGAUCGGCACCGGAAUCUAAACACUUGAAUUGUGGAAUGAAUCUUUCCUCGGCAGAACUUGAAGCAGCAUUUUGAAGCCCCUUAUUUUUGAGAAAGAUGGCUACAAGAUGAAUGUGCUUGCAAAAAUGAUUGUUGGUGGUGGCGUCUCGACAAGUACAGAUAAUGGUUGACUCGAAGUUCUGCGUCGUGCCCAACAUGCGUAGAAGUAAAUUUUGCAGUCACUGUUCCAGUGGCGCUGCAAAUUUCUGCCCUAAUGCGAGAAGGACACACACCAUCCACUCUUAUGGAGCCAGAAAUUUUAGGUACUCGUAAUUGACAAGUACUUUUAAAAUCAAAGAAAUUGCUCCUGUGGCACUCGAAGUACAAUGUUUUGCCAGAUGUACUGUUAGUUGACGUCUUCAGAAAAUAGAAAGAUUUUGUCUCUC